GAGGUUGGAGGAUUACUUGAGUCAAGGAGGUUGAGGCUGCAGUGAGCCAUGAUCAUACCACUGCACUCCAGCCUGAGUGACGGAGCAAGACCCUGUCUC
rnacentral:miRNA from 1 species